GACGAACGCUGGCGGCGUGCUUAACACAUGCAAGUCGAGCGGUAAGGCCCUUUCGGGGGUACGACGAGCGGCGAACGGGUGAGUAACACGUGGGUGACCUGCCCUCAGCUCUGGGAUAAGCCUGGGAAACCGGGUCUAAUACUGGAUAUGACUCCAUGACGCAUGUUGUGGGGUGGAAAGCCUUGUGCGGCUGAGGAUGGGCCCGCGGCCUAUCAGCUUGUUGGUGGGGUGAUGGCCUACCAAGGCGACGACGGGUAGCCGGCCUGAGAGGGCGACCGGUCACACUGGGACUGAGACACGGCCCAGACUCCUACGGGAGGCAGCAGUGGGGAAUCUUGCGCAAUGGGCGAAAGCCUGACGCAGCGACGCCGCGUGAGGGAUGAC
rnacentral:rRNA from 1 species